CAGUAGCCGCGGUAAUACGUAGGUGGCAAGCGUUGUCCGGAAUUAUUGGGCGUAAAGGGCUCGCAGGCGGUUUCUUAAGUCUGAUGUGAAAGCCCCCGGCUCAACCGGGGAGGGUCAUUGGAAACUGGGAAACUUGAGUGCAGAAGGGGAGAGUGGGAUUCCACGUGUAGCGGUGAAAUGCGUAGAGAUGUGGAGGAACACCAGUGGCGAAGGCGACUCUCUGGUCUGUAACUGACGCUGAGGAGCGAAAGCGUGGGGAGCGAACAGGAUUAGAUACCCCAGUAGUCCCUGUCUCUUAUCC
rnacentral:rRNA from 1 species